AAAAUCACCAGUGUUAAUUUUUCAGGGAUGGUGUUAAAUACACAGUGUUGAUGCUGUUUUAACACUAUCUGGUAAUAAAAUAACACUGCCAUUGCUAGGCCAGUGUUAUAUCCACGACAGUGUCAGUGUAAAACAAGGGUGUUACCAGAUUUCACUCUGAGCGGUGUAAAUCAAGCCACGCCUCCACUAAACAUUUCCUGUCAGGGAUUUUACCGCCAUUUUCUUUCAAAGGAGGACUGAAGAGAGCAGAUGCUAGUUUGGUGAAAGUACACACUGAGUGCUUCAAAUCAUUCAGAAGAGAUGCUGUUUUAAGGGCAGUUUAUUAAAGAAGACCUGACAUGGAUGACUUCCAAUGAGAAACGACUGCUAAUACUUAUAUAAAUUCAUUACAGAAGGACCCUACCAGACUAUAUUUGAAUACAGCAUACCCAUGAAUUCUGGAACUUUUAUUUCUUAACCCAGUUUGGAGGAUAAGAGCUUACCAACUAUAAAUAUGCUGAGGUGAUGUAUUGCAAAAUAGCCAACAUACAACAAUUAAAGGAUAAUUGCAGCCUAUAUCCUGAUGAAGAUGGAUGACCCUCUGUCUGGUCAACAGGAGUUUAAAUAUGG